UGAGUUUAAUUCCAUUAAAGUCAUAACAAAGAUGUAAAUUGUUAUCAGUGUGGCUACUUGUUCACAGAGUCCAGCACAUGUGUAAGCAUUUGCUUCCUUCUCCACCUCCAAAUACCAAGCAGAGAGAAAAACACCAUGGUCUAGGCUUAACCAGGGAACAAACUAUAUCAAAACUGUUAAGUGAAUUUACAAAGUACAGUCACAGGAAAAGAUCACAGUUAGUUUUAGUGGAGAAGUUUUGUCCUGGAACAAGGAACCCUAUUAGGGAGAAUUAUUCUGAGUUGUGAUGAGGAAAGAUCUGAAUCAGAUACAGCUUCACAAAGACUGUCCUCUUUAUAGUAUAACUGAGUCUUCCAUCCAUCUCUGAUCAGAAAUGACUGACCUGCACACCCUAACCAUUCACAACAAUUAAGACAUAAACCUGCUGCGGGAAAACAGUGCAUAUCCGCAUGGCAUCCAAGCAAUGAUCAACCAGAUUUUUCCUUCAAUGAGCCUUAGAGUUAUGUGACCAUUGUGAUCCCAUGUUCCUCUAAACAUUGACUGACAGCCCAGUUUGGCAGUCUAAUGGGAAUUUUGCCUCAGUGGGGACUGCAGAAAUAGGUUUAAAAGGUUCCAGUCCCUCAGUAAGCAAGAGUCAAAACUUGUGAAACCAGGGGUGUAAGCCAUACAGGAAAUUAUGAGGCAAUAGGUAUAGCUGAGAUGUAAGAUAUGCCUGUAGUGGGGCUCAGAACAGAAGUAAUGAGUGUAAUUGGAGUAAGCUGGAGUACAGGAACAUGUGGACUGGCCUGCAGGAAAAGGUGAAAGGAGAUGCAUCAGCCAAACAACAGGGGACAUGUUAAGUGAGACAAUAUAUGCGAGCAAGAACAUAAAGUGAGGACUAAGCUGUCGUAGGCUGGUGAAACUGAGCAAGGGAUCAGAGCACAUGCUGAUCUGGGCAGAAAUUCAGAGCUCCCACAUGUUCCCCCCCACAAGACAUGCCAGGCGGUAGGGGAAUGUUCAACCCUUCAAAGAGAAAUCAAGCAAUGUGGAGGCAUGAGCAGCCUCAGACACUUGUGGAUUUGCAAACCCACUGAGAUGCUAGCUGGAGUGGGAAAAGCAGAAUCUGAGGCCUGUCUCGGUACACACUGACCUACCUGUUCUCAUCAAGGCAGAUCCAGAACAGUCAUUUGCUAGCACUGUAGCUGGGUGGCUGAAAGUAAAAACAUAACUCUCUCUGACCCAUUCCUACACCUAUCCAGAGGACUGUUUGUGCUUACUCCUAUUUUGGUACCUGAUAGGGCCAUAAAUCCUCAGAGCUGCCUGCUGUGUCAGAUCCCCACAGACCACACUACCCACGCAACUCACUUCAUGGCUGCACUGCAAAUUGUGGAAGCGGUGAGGAAAAGUGUUGUGGGCAAAAUUCUCAGUGAACGAAACCUGGCAUAGUGCUGAUGAAUUACAUGAAAUCAUGCCAAUUUAUAUUGGCUCAGGAUCUGGCCACAUAUCAAGACAACACCUGAAGGCUAGCAACCAGAGAUGCACUGAAGCCUAGUAGUAGGGUGCAUCCUGGCUUAAAGCAAAGCAGGCAUUUUAGGUGUGAAAGCAGAAGGUAAAUGCAUAUAUAGGGUAAAUGCGCAUGCAGGGAAAAACUUGUUAACACACGCAGAGGAUCAGGUAGUGGUCGUGCCAAUGGUUCACUACUGGGGAAUCUCCUCUGUGAGCCGUUAAUUGCUUGACACAUGAAUACCACCACCACCACCACACCAUUGGAUUCAGGAAUUGACUUUCACACUCUUGCAUCCUGUUAUUUAAUCCAAGCUGAACGGCCUCCAGAGAACUCGCUUCCACAUUGACCUUAGGAAUCUGACAAGCUCUACUUUACAGCCAAGGGAUGCCACACUCUCAUUUCCUGAAUUGAACCGAAUGCUGGGUUUUGGUUUAUUUUUAACAGGAGUCGUCAAAACUUGUAUUUUUGUACUAAGCUGCUGUAAUAAAUGGAGUUUACAGGCCACUGAACUGUCACUCAGCUUGCCAGGCUGUGCAAAUAAGGGACAGAAUUUGCCCUUGUCCUACAGUUACUGUGCUCCUGUGAGCUGCUGCAUCGGCAGUGUCUGGUGAUUCCCAAUGUGAACAAGGGAAACUGUCCACAGACCUGUUAUAUCUCUUCCCAUGCAGGAAAUAAAUGAAGCCCUGGCUCUGUCUCCUCCUCACCUUGGCCUAAGCAUACUGGUCAGUGCAUGCUAGGUGACUGAUACUGCCUCUUGCCUGAUGUGGAGGGAAGCUGGAGGAGGGAAUUUUGACCGUGCGUCAGCUCAUGGAUCACCACUGCUAUGUGCUACCCCAUCCUUUAGGUUGACUGUAGCCUAGCCCAUAAUAAGGGCUAGACUCAUUGCAGUUUAGCCCAUAAUGAGGUGGGGAGUUGUGAGGUGGGAGUAAGUAGUAAGGAGAUCAUAAUAGAGGUGAUGUUGCAACAAAUUGUUUACAUGUUCACUGACAUUUUCUGUUUCAAAGUAUGUUGGCACUCA